UACGGGAGGCAGCAGUGGGGAAUCUUCCGCAAUGGGCGAAAGCCUGACGGAGCAAUGCCGCGUGAGUGAUGAAGGAAUUCGUUCCGUAAAGCUCUUUUGUUUAUGACGAAUGUGCAGAUUGUAAAUAAUGAUCUGUAAUGACGGUAGUAAACGAAUAAGCCACGGCUAACUACGUGCCAGCAGCCGCGGUAAU
rnacentral:rRNA from 1 species